rnacentral:rRNA from 1 species
UUAAGCGACUAAGCGUACACGGUGGAUGCCCUGGCAGUCAGAGGCGAUGAAGGACGUGCUAAUCUGCGAAAAGCGUCGGUAAGGUGAUAUGAACCGUUAUAACCGGCGAUGUCCGAAUGGGGAAACCCAGUGCAAUUCGUUGCACUAUCGUUAACUGAAUACAUAGGUUAACGAGGCGAACCGGGGGAACUGAAACAUCUAAGUACCCCGAGGAAAAGAAAUCAACCGAGAUUCCCCCAGUAGCGGCGAGCGAACGGGGAGCAGCCCAGAGUCUGAAUCAGCUUGUGUGUUAGUGGAACGGUCUGGAAAGUCCGACGGUACAGGGUGAUAGUCCCGUACACCAAAAUGCACAGGCUGUGAACUCGAAGAGUAGGGCGGGACACGUGGUAUCCUGUCUGAAUAUGGGGGGACCAUCCUCCAAGGCUAAAUACUCCUGACUGACCGAUAGUGAACCAGUACCGUGAGGGAAAGGCGAAAAGAACCCCGGCGAGGGGAGUGAAAAAGAACCUGAAACCGUGUACGUACAAGCAGUGGGAGCACCUUCGGGUGUGACUGCGUACCUUUUGUAUAAUGGGUCAGCGACUUAUAUUCUGUAGCAAGGUUAACCGUAUAGGGGAGCCGCAGGGAAACCGAGUCUUAACUGGGCGUUAAGUUGCAGGGUAUAGACCCGAAACCCGGUGAUCUAGCCAUGGGCAGGUUGAAGGUUGGGUAACACUAACUGGAGGACCGAACCGACUAAUGUUGAAAAAUUAGCGGAUGACUUGUGGCUGGGGGUGAAAGGCCAAUCAAACCGGGAGAUAGCUGGUUCUCCCCGAAAGCUAUUUAGGUAGCGCCUCGUGAACUCAUCUUCGGGGGUAGAGCACUGUUUCGGCUAGGGGGUCAUCCCGACUUACCAACCCGAUGCAAACUACGAAUACCGAAGAAUGUUAUCACGGGAGACACACGGCGGGUGCUAACGUCCGUCGUGAAGAGGGAAACAACCCAGACCGCCAGCUAAGGUCCCAAAGUCAUGGUUAAGUGGGAAACGAUGUGGGAAGGCACAGACAGCCAGGAUGUUGGCUUAGAAGCAGCCAUCAUUUAAAGAAAGCGUAAUAGCUCACUGGUCGAGUCGGCCUGCGCGGAAGAUGUAACGGGGCUAAACCAUGCACCGAAGCUGCGGCAGCGACACUAUGUGUUGUUGGGUAGGGGAGCGUUCUGUAAGCCUGCGAAGGUGACCUGUGAGGGUUGCUGGAGGUAUCAGAAGUGCGAAUGCUGACAUAAGUAACGAUAAAGCGGGUGAAAAGCCCGCUCGCCGGAAGACCAAGGGUUCCUGUCCAACGUUAAUCGGGGCAGGGUGAGUCGACCCCUAAGGCGAGGCCGAAAGGCGUAGUCGAUGGGAAACAGGUUAAUAUUCCUGUACUUGGUGUUACUGCGAAGGGGGGACGGAGAAGGCUAUGUUAGCCGGGCGACGGUUGUCCCGGUUUAAGCAUGUAGGCUGAUUGUCCAGGCAAAUCCGGAUAAUCAAGGCUGAGGUGUGAUGACGAGGCACUACGGUGCUGAAGUAACAAAUGCCCUGCUUCCAGGAAAAGCCUCUAAGCAUCAGGUAACAUCAAAUCGUACCCCAAACCGACACAGGUGGUCAGGUAGAGAAUACCAAGGCGCUUGAGAGAACUCGGGUGAAGGAACUAGGCAAAAUGGUGCCGUAACUUCGGGAGAAGGCACGCUGGUGUGUAGGUGAAGCCCCUGCGGGUGGAGCUGAGACCAGUCGAAGAUACCAGCUGGCUGCAACUGUUUAUUAAAAACACAGCACUGUGCAAACACGAAAGUGGACGUAUACGGUGUGACGCCUGCCCGGUGCCGGAAGGUUAAUUGAUGGGGUUAUCCGUAAGGAGAAGCUCUUGAUCGAAGCCCCGGUAAACGGCGGCCGUAACUAUAACGGUCCUAAGGUAGCGAAAUUCCUUGUCGGGUAAGUUCCGACCUGCACGAAUGGCGUAAUGAUGGCCAGGCUGUCUCCACCCGAGACUCAGUGAAAUUGAACUCGCUGUGAAGAUGCAGUGUACCCGCGGCAAGACGGAAAGACCCCGUGAACCUUUACUAUAGCUUGACACUGAACAUUGAGCCUUGAUGUGUAGGAUAGGUGGGAGGCUUUGAAGCGUGGACGCCAGUCUGCGUGGAGCCAACCUUGAAAUACCACCCUUUAAUGUUUGAUGUUCUAACGUUGGCCCCUUACCGGGGUUGCGGACAGUGUCUGGUGGGUAGUUUGACUGGGGCGGUCUCCUCCCAAAGCGUAACGGAGGAGCACGAAGGUUAGCUAAUCCUGGUCGGACAUCAGGAGGUUAGUGCAAUGGCAUAAGCUAGCUUGACUGCGAGCGUGACGGCGCGAGCAGGUGCGAAAGCAGGUCAUAGUGAUCCGGUGGUUCUGAAUGGAAGGGCCAUCGCUCAACGGAUAAAAGGUACUCCGGGGAUAACAGGCUGAUACCGCCCAAGAGUUCAUAUCGACGGCGGUGUUUGGCACCUCGAUGUCGGCUCAUCACAUCCUGGGGCUGAAGUAGGUCCCAAGGGUAUGGCUGUUCGCCAUUUAAAGUGGUACGCGAGCUGGGUUUAGAACGUCGUGAGACAGUUCGGUCCCUAUCUGCCGUGGGCGCUGGAGAAUUGAGGGGGGCUGCUCCUAGUACGAGAGGACCGGAGUGGACGCAUCACUGGUGUUCGGGUUGUCAUGCCAAUGGCACUGCCCGGUAGCUAAAUGCGGAAGAGAUAAGUGCUGAAAGCAUCUAAGCACGAAACUUGCCCCGAGAUGAGUUCUCCCUGAGACUUUAAGUCUCCUGAAGGAACGUUGAAGACGACGACGUUGAUAGGCCGGGUGUGUAAGCGCAGCGAUGCGUUGAGCUAACCGGUACUAAUGAACCGUGAGGCUUAACCUU